rnacentral:rRNA from 1 species
GAGCCGAAGAAGGACGGGACUAACACCGAUAUGCUUUGGGGAGCUGUACGUAAGCGUUGAUCCAGAGAUUUCCGAAUGGGGGAACCCACUAUCUUUAGUCGGAUAGUAUCCUUACGUGAAUACAUAGCGUGAGGAAGGCAGACCCAGGGAACUGAAACAUCUAAGUACCUGGAGGAAGAGAAAGAAAAAUCGAUUUCCUGAGUAGCGGCGAGCGAAACGGAAAGAGCCCAAACCAAGAAGCUUGCUUCUUGGGGUUGUAGGACACUCUAUACGGAGUUACAAAAGAAAGUUAUAAAUGAAGCGGUCUGGAAAGGCCCGCCAAAGACGG